CAGUAGCCGCGGUAAUACGUAGGGUGCAAGCGUUAAUCGGAAUUACUGGGCGUAAAGCGUGCGCAGGCGGUUCUAUAAGACAGAUGUGAAAUCCCCGGGCUCAACCUGGGAACUGCAUUUGUGACUGUAGAGCUGGAGUGCGGCAGAGGGGGAUGGAAUUCCGCGUGUAGCAGUGAAAUGCGUAGAUAUGCGGAGGAACACCGAUGGCGAAGGCAAUCCCCUGGGCCUGCACUGACGCUCAUGCACGAAAGCGUGGGGAGCAAACAGGAUUAGAUACCCGCGUAGUCCCUGUCUCUUAUAA
rnacentral:rRNA from 1 species